rnacentral:rRNA from 1 species
AGAGUUUGAUCCUGGCUCAGAAUGAACGCUGGCGGCAUGGAUUAGGCAUGCAAGUCGAACGGAAACGAUAAGUGCUUGCACUUAGGCGUCGAGUGGCGAAAGGGUGAGUAACGCGUGAGCAACCUGCCCCAAGGUCGGGGAUAGCCCAUGGAAACGUGGAUUAAUACCGGAUGUGGCGGGCUCUUUUAAUAGGAGUUUGCUAAAGAUUUAUUGCCUUGGGAUGGGCUCGCGUUCUAUUAGUUUGUUGGUGAGGUAACGGCUCACCAAGACGAUGACAGAUAGGUGGUCUGAGAGGACGAUCACCCACACUGGGACUGAGACACUGCCCAGACUCCUACGGGAGGCUGCAGUCGAGAAUCUUCCGCAAUGCGCGAAAGCGUGACGGAGCAAUGCCGCGUGAAGGAUGAAGGCUUUCGGGUCGUAAACUUCUGUCACUCGGGACGAAUUUUGACGGUACCGAGAGAGGAAGCCACGGCUAACUACGUGCCAGCAGCCGCGGUAAUACGUAGGUGGCGAGCGUUAUUCGGAUUUACUGGGCGUAAAGGGUUCGUAGGGUGUUAUGUAAGUUUGAUGUGAAAUCCAAGGGCUCAACCUUGGACAUGCAUUGAAAACUGCCAGACUAGAGUGCAGGAGAGGAGAGUGGAAUUCCUGGUGUAGCGGUGGAAUGCGUAGAUAUCAGGAGGAACACCAAUGGCGAAGGCAGCUCUCUGGACUGUUGCUGACCCUCAUGGACGAAAGCUGGGGGAGCGAACAGGAUUAGAUACCCUGGUAGUCCCAGCCGUAAACGUUGUGCACUAGGUGCUGGGGGAUUUGACCCCCUCGGCGCCCCAGCUAACGCGUUAAGUGCACCGCCUGGGGAGUACGGCGGCAACGCUAAAACUCAAAGGAAUUGACGGGGGCCCGCACAAGCGGUGGAGCAUGUGGCUUAAUUCGAGGCAACGCGAAGAACCUUACCCGGAUUUGACAUAUUUAUGACCGCCUGUGAAAGCAGGUUUCGCUUCGGGGCAUAUAUACAGGUGCUGCAUGGCUGUCGUCAGCUCGUGUCGUGAGAUGUUCGGUUAAGUCCGGCAACGAGCGCAACCCGUGUCGUCUGUUGCCAUCACAUAAUGGUGGGAACUCUAAUGAGACUGCCCGUGUCAAGCGGGAGGAAGGCGUGGAUGACGUCAAGUCAGUAUGGCUCUUACGUCCAGGGCUGCACACGUGCUACAAUGGCUGGGACAAUGGGCUGCCACCCCGCGAGGGGGAGCUAAUCUCUAAAACCAGCCCCAGUUCGGAUCGUAGUCUGCAACUCGACUACGUGAAGUCGGAAUCGCUAGUAAAGGCGUAUCAGCAACGACGCCUUGAAUACGUUCCCGGGCCUUGUACACACCGCCCGUCACAUCACGGGAGCUGGAUGCACCCAAAGUCGUUGACCCAACUUGCAAAAGAGGGAGGCGCCGAAGGAGUGUUCAGUGACUGGGAUGAAGUCGUAACAAGGUAGCCGUAGGGGAACCUGCGGCUG